rnacentral:rRNA from 1 species
UUUAAGCAUGUAGGCUGGUUGUCCAGGCAAAUCCGGAUAAUCAAGGCUGAGGUGUGAUGACGAGGCACUACGGUGCUGAAGUAACAAAUGCCCUGCUUCCAGGAAAAGCCUCUAAGCAUCAGGUAACAUUAAAUCGUACCCCAAACCGACACAGGUGGUCAGGUAGAGAAUACCAAGGCGCUUGAGAGAACUCGGGUGAAGGAACUAGGCAAAAUGGUGCCGUAACUUCGGGAGAAGGCACGCUGGUGUGUAGGUGAAGUCCCUGCGGAUGGAGCUGAGACCAGUCGACGAUACCAGCUGGCUGCAACUGGUUAUUAAAAACACAGCACUGUGCA